rnacentral:lncRNA from 1 species
CGAUCAUCGUCAAACACACGGUCAGAGGCUGGUUGUGGUGAGUCAGACCAUUCUGCUGUAAACGAGUGGUCUUUACUGGCUAACUGUUCUUUGUCUAACAAGAUAAUACCUGUGGAACUACCAUGCCCCAAGGAGACGAGGUGGGAGACUGUCUUGUCUUCACCCGAGUCAGGCGCCGCAGUGUUCUCGUCUCCUAUGGCUGAAGCCAGAAGAGAAGAGGAGGAGGAGUUGAGGGAUAUACGGAACCGAAAUCAAGCAACAGAUCGAACAGAGAGAAAUAAGUCUGAGGCUCUUCAUUCCAGGUAAAUUAUCCAUAUCAUUGAAUUACAUAUUGGGCAUUUUCAAUGUGUCUGUCUUGCUCAAUACAGAGAAGGAAACGUGUUAAUACUGUGAUAAUGUUGCACGGUCCAGUAUAAACACUGGGUUGUUCCAGCUCUACCUAGCCACCUCUGUUGCUCCACGGCUCUGGCAGGACUGCAGUA